rnacentral:snRNA from 1 species
GAAUGUGAGAGUGAUCUGGCUGCAACAUCUGUCACCCCAUUGAUAGCCAGAGUUGAUUCAGCUGAUCUGGCUGGCUAAGCUGGUUUCCCCUUAGUCCCUCACCGCUCCACUUGUGUCCCUUAGAAGUUGAGUGCUUGGUCGAAGAUGGCGGCCUUCCCCAAAGAGAGAGUGACUGGUCAAUGACU